rnacentral:tRNA from 1 species
GCCUGGGUGGCUCAGUCGGUUGAGCAUCCGACUUCAGCUCAGGUCAUGAUCUCACGGCUUGUGGGUUCGAGCCCCACAUCGGGCU